CUCAUUUUCCAUUGAGCUAACUGACUGGGGCAGGCUGGCAGUCCAGUGACCCCCAAGGAUCUUCUUGUACCCACCUCCCCUGAGUUGGGAUUACCAGCACAUGCCACCACUGCCCAGGAUCAAAACUAGAAGCACAUCUGCUUUCCAUGACCAAGCAGUGCCCCAGGCAUCUGCCACAUUAGCCUGUGGCUUCCGGACAGAUUCUCCUAGAGCUAAGCAAAUGCCUAGGACAGAUACAGAGAAACUUCAGAGGCUUAAUUAACUUUGUAAUGCUGGAUACAUGCAUGCAGAUGGGUGGAGCAUCAUCACUCCCAGCCAGACCACAAAUGCAGUGCGUUUUGGAAAGAAUGGACAUCAGGCUGCGCCCCUGUGGUUCCCAGCUGCUGUGAGGACUUCAGAGAGCAUGCAGACCUAGGCACAGGCUGUAUGCUCCAUGAAGCUGUCGCCCACUUGUGAUGUAUGUCACAGAAGUGUAAAGGGAAGCACUGGUUCCCACCGAGGGAGGCCACAAUGGGGGCGGGACUGUGGUGACCCGGAGGGAUCCAGCAUGUGUGACUGUUACACUCCACCUUCAGAGGCAGCCGGAGAACCAGCUAACCUGAACCCAUAAACACACUCCCAGCAUGGAGGCUUAGUCUCUGAGGAUGUGCCCACAUCCUCUUGCUAAAAAGUCCCUUGCAUCUUAUGCAGUUCAAGCAUUAGGUGUCAAGGUGUCCUUCCCCAGGAGGGGCUUCCAGAUUCGAGUUGUGACUUCAUUUGGUAAUAAAGAUUUUUUGGAAUAA